UACGGAGGGUGCAAGCGUUGUUCGGAAUUACUGGGCGUAAAGGGGGUGCAGACGGCCGAAUAAGUCAGAUGUGAAAUCCCUCGGCUUAACUGAGGAAGUGCAUCUGAAACUGUUCGGCUUGAGUAUGGGAGAGGAAGGCGGAAUUCCCGGUGUAGCGGUGACAUGCGUAGAUAUCGGGAGGAACACCAGUGGCGAAGGCGGCCUUCUGGCCCAAUACUGACGCUGAGACCCGAAAGCGUGGGGAGCAAACAGG
rnacentral:rRNA from 1 species